CAUCUUUGAAACUUGAUUUCUAUAUUUGCACCACAGUAGUGAAUUAUUUGCAUAUUCAUUAACUAAAGGUUAACUUUUGUUGAUUUCCUAAACCCUAAAGAAUAGAGUCUGAACCUUCAAUUUUGCAGGUGUCUGAAGCUCUGCAGAACUGACAUUGAUAAGCUCUAUCAUCUUGAAAACAAGCUCUCUUGUAGCUUUCAUCAGAGAGAAUCUUUCCUUUAUGUGGAAAAUGGGAGCCAAGAACAAUUCUUGUACCUAGGAAAGGGCUGGAGACAGAGGCUUAUUGAAUUGCAGUGUGAGAUGAGGAAUGGCAAAAAGAAGAUCCUGAUUGGCUCAAAUUCUGCAUCUCAGCAGCCAGGAGGUAUGGGCAAUAAAUCCUGAAUGCAGACAAGGGGUACUUAAGAUCAGGAAUCUCAGCCCGCAGGAUGAACCAAGAAGCUGGAGACAGCUGAAGUUUGCCAAGAUUCAGAGGAGCACAACAGCAUGCCAGACCCUUGCUGGAUUUGAGUCUAUCAGCCUGAUACAUAUCAGAGGGACUGCCAUCCACAAUUAUCAAGACAGCUAUGUACUUUCUUCAAGGUUAGGAGAUGGACCAGACGAAUAUAUUAGGUGGCUGAAAUCCCUGAAGCUGUGACAAAGUGUACAGGUUAUUACAAGCUUUGGUGGCUAGCUUCUUUGGCUAAUGGGUUACACAGUGAACUGCCUGAAUCUGUUACAUGUCUGUGAAUACUGUUUCCCUAGAUUGCAAUACCAGCCCAAUUCUUUGGUCUGCUGGAAGUCAUCCUAAGAGAUUACUUGACAUCGGCCUCAGGAACGCCUUGUGGAACUUCAGCACUCAGAUCUUACUCCAUCAUCACAGCCUUGCAGAGAGGGGUGGAUGGCUGCAUCUGGGAGUCCAUCUAAAGUCAAACCGCCCACCACCUCAUCUUUCAUCAGAGUCAGCAGGGAGCACAGGAUGUAAUUGUUGUGCAUUCUCUGAAUGGCAGCCCCCAAGAAUUCCCCCCAAGAUGAUCUAGUGGAGACCAGUGUGUGUCAGGAAGAGAAUACUUACCAGAGAUCUUAGGAAGACCCACCUGACAGGAAUGAUGGUGAGAAGUCUCAACUGUGUCCACUAGAAACAAGAACAAAUGAUGGAAAGGAGUGGAAGACAUGAACUUCCAUGACUAACAACUGCACUACCUGCACAGAUUUCUGCUACUUGAGCUAAUAGAGUGCCAGUACCAGCCAUGGGUUGUCAUCCUCUGAGUAAAGCACUCCCAGAAGAAGAUUGCUGAUGGUCCCUGGUGAGAAACACAAACUGAGGUUUUGCUUGUUGGCUGGGGUGACAGGUAAUCAGAUGGAUUCCAGAUAUAAGGUAACCCACUGUGUCUCCUCCAGCCUCUUGCCAUCCUUGUCCUUUGCUUUCCCCACUUCAUCCCAGGACCCCACAUUCUCCUACAGGAAGUCACAGUAGAUCCCAGCUCCUGAUCUCCCAAUCUGGUUAGCUGUUUGCUCAUUCCCCAGUAUUACACUCUUUGCUUCCAAUCUACCUGGCUGGACCACCCUACCUCCCCAAUUCUUCCUCCUGACCCCAUUCCUCAUCUAGCACAGCUUUGGGAUCCAGUAUAUCUGCCUGAGAAUUUCUUCACAGUGCAUUUGAAUAACUGUCUUCUGUACUCUUGAUUUGGACAUCUAGGAUGCUGGGACCAGAGCAGGGCAGACCCCUGCUUUCCUUUUGGUUGCCUAGACCUCUUACAGCUUAUGGUAGCAGAUGCCUAUCCAUAGCAAAUGAGACCUUUUAGGAAAGUUUGCUGUUGAAACCAAAGUCAUCUUUAUUAAACAUGCACCAUGAGUUUUCACAUACUUAUUUAAUGAGGAUAAAACCAACAUGUCAUUGACACAAAAGCUGUCUUCUAUCAGAUUUUAAGUCCUUGCACCAAAUUUGCAAGAUUUAUCUUUUGUCACAGAAGACACCAGAAUUUUUAACUGCAGCACAUUUUCCCUACAGCCUGACAGACACGUCAGACGUGUCUGAGUUGUUUUACGCUAGUUUCCCUUGGGAAUGUGUGUCAAGUAAAAAGUCCUGAACUAUACAAUUUCUUAUUGUUUAGACAAGACAAAAACAUUAAUAAAUUUAAUCUCAGAAAAAGCAUUCUAAUAUCUUUAGUGGCCACUAUGCAGACUUUCAUUCCUUAGAGAAGAUAAGGCAUGUCCUCGCAAACAAGAAAAAUUAGAUCCUGAUGUGCCAAGGCCUAUGCUCUAAGUAGUUCAAGGUGAUCAGUGUACAGUUCAGAUUGUUACAUAAAACAAUUUGCAAAGAUCAGUAAAAAUUAAACAAAAAAUGACAGCUUUUUCAAGAAAACAAGACCCAGUGAUAAGCCCCAAGGACUAUGCUGAAAUCAUGUGCAGUAAAGAUGAAAAACGUGAGACUAGACUCAGUGGGACUGUGGCAGAGUAGUAGAGAGAAGACUCUUGGUCAAGUGUGAGAAGUAUGACACUGAUUAUGUGGAUUAUUAUACUUAGAUUCAUUGCUAAUACAGUAUCUAAAUAUUGCCAAUGCAGUGUAUAAUAUGAUCAGAUCUAAGGGGUUAUAACACAACCAGGUUCAACUGGAAACGUGCAGGUUUAGAGCCUUUGGCCUUGCAGAAAGCACAAUUACAAAGCAGCAAAGCACCUGCGGAGCUACUUUAGGAUUUUAUCUCUGUAUAUGGCUGGAUCUUAGUGCUUUUACUCAACCAUCCAAAAGUGAGUGUUCCCAUUUUAGGGCUGGAUAUACACUCCAGGCAUCCCUGCUAGGGUGGGAUUCAUCUGGAAGCUGUCUGCAACCUUGGGAAAUCAAUUGGCCUAGUCCACAGCUGCAUUUUAUACCCUUUCACAGGCCAAUGUGUAUCAAAGUCAAUGACAAUCAUCACAGCUCCCCCAUCCCUGGAAUGCAUUAAUUAUGUGAGCAUCCAGACAGUUCCUCCUGCAAUUCCGACCUGGUCUUCUUAUCUUGGGACAAAUCACAUUACCUAUCUGAGACUGCAAGGGAGAGGGGGGGUGUGAGGGCAGGAUGUGCUUUCUGUUUAAGAAAAACUUUCUUGAGAUAUUCUUGAGAUAUUCUUGAGAUGUCCUUUGGAGAGCUACCAAGACACUGUUAAUAAACAGCUUCCAAAAAGCUGUGUUAGAGACAGCAGGAUGUUGCUGCAGUUUCCAUGUGUCUGUGUGACCAACAGACAAUAUGCUGUCCUGGAAUUCUUCUAGCAGUGAAUUUGCUGUUCAGCGCCAGCACCACAGAGAGAGGUUGAGUUUCCUUCCCCUGCAGCUCUGGUGCCCAUACUGCCUGCCUCUCCAGGGAAUGACUGGACUCCAACAACAGGUCUGGCAGAAGUUCCAGCCCAUGUCAGUGAACUGAAUAACUCUCUCUUCUGAAAUAAAAAAUCCAAUACUUUUUGAUUCUUACUGUGUCUUUAAGACUGUUAAGCAAUGGUAUUUUCCUCACAUAGACUUUUAACAGGAAACCAAAAUUGGAUUUUUUUUAAAAAAUGAAAGCCUUACUUUUCUUAAUUCUGAAUAUUUUUAUUCUUUUUCCCCCCUUGUUUUUUUCUAUCUUUAAUAAAGGGUUUAAAAGAUUUGGUGUGGCUUAUGUUGCCACAGGAAUAAACAAGCAUUUGAAAUCUCAAACUCUAUCCAAAACUUGUUUAGCAAUAUAGUUUUGUUACAGUGACACAGCACCUUUAAUUCAUUUGACCCUCUGGAUCUGUUUAUUCUACUGAAAUUUGACUCAGCAAGGUUAAAUCCCCUUAUAUCAUUCUGCAAGACAACUCAUUUUAUGUUUGGAUACAAACAGCCAAAGCUGCACAAUCAACUCGCCCCCAACAUGCCAGUUUGCACUAGUGUGGCUGAAUGGAAAAAGAAAUUGUGGUGGCUUUAUAGAAAUGUACCUAAUUUCUAUGGGAUACUCAGUGAAUAUCAGAACAAUAGAUGGUGUAUUAACUACUAUGUCUGCUCUUUUUCCUUGGCAUAGGUAAUAUUUUUAUGUAAGGGGAUGGCAGCCUCCUCUCGUUAUAUUAAGCAAAAUUCUUCAACGGAUACCACGAAGUAAUAAUUUUUUUUUUUUUUAGCUUAUUUUUACUUGGUUUUUAGGAAACUGUUCUGUAAUAGCAAGCUCUGGAACAAAAUCUAAAAAACAGGGCAUUUUUUGUGUUUGAAAUGUCUCUCCAUAUGAUUGCAAAUAAUAAAAUUAUGGAAAUAUCUUAUUCUCCAGUUACUCUAUAUCAUCCAAUCAGCAUGAUUUACUCUUCCCUCUUGCUAUAUACUUUUGUGUGCAGAUUUUAUUGUGUCUCUGUUUUGGUUUUAAUAUUUAUAUGUAUUUAUUAACAAGCAAAACAGAGAGCAACCAGUUUUUUAAGGAUGUACUGGAGUGAACCACUACAGGCAAGUUAUAUUUAUUUCCACGUUCAGGAUAUGGAAGGCUAGCAAGGGAUACCUCUUUGCACCUAAAUAUUUUAAGUCCACUGGAAAAGAAUUACAGGUUGGUCAAAUAAGGUUUUUCUUAUCUUUUUUUUUCCUUUCACCCCCAUUUUGUGUUAAGCAUUAGAAUCUGUUAAAAACAGCCCAUUACCUUAAGCCUUAAAGCAGUUCUUUCCCUGUUGCAGAGAAAUCUGCUUGAAAUGUGUUCUGCCUUUAUGAUCUCCAGGCUCUAGCCUGGCCAAACAGAUGGAGUGUUUCUACCUGGGCUGUCACUUUGUUUUCCUCUUCUCAUUGAGCUAAACCUUGCUCCUAUGCAACCUGAGGGGAAGGACUUUUAACACAACGUGAAACAACAUCCUUGGCUGAGCAGGUUACAGAGAGAGCCCAAAAGCUCUCGGUACUCUUCAGUUCCAAUACACCAGCUCUCAUGGAACCCAAAGUGUAGGUGCACAUCUGCCUUGUUCCCUUCCACUGCCUGAUUACAGCAUUUCCAGCCUCUGCCAAAGAUGGUGAUGUUCACAGGACUGCAGCCUGAAGAAGGAAGGACUGAAAUCCUGCUUUCACCAAGACCAACGCGUACAUGAGAGGCAAUCACCGGUUCCUUAACAGAAGUGAAAAAGAAUGCACUUUUGGUCCUGGACUGUUCUUUGUAAUUUAAUGUGAUCUGCUGUCAACAAGAGGCAAAAUAAACCUCUGACACUCGCUAAAGUUUCACACUACAGAAGUGAAAAGAUAUGACCCGGGACUUCCUUUCCAUGUACAUUCACCUACUACCUUCGCUACUGAUGCUGAUACUGGCUCACCGGGAUCAUCAUUUGCAACAGAGUAUGUUUGGCUCCUUCUCAGGUGAUCUUUGUAUUGCUAUUUUCCUGUGUUGACACCUAUUGGAGAAACGGUUUAUACUAGUUUCAGAAACCAUCUCAUUUGAUGAUCUUAUGACUUGCUACAGUAAGUAACACAAAUGUGUUACUUACUGUAUUUCCACAGUUUUCAUCUAUUAAAACUAAUCAAACAUGCUUCAGUUACUGCCUGUUUCCCCACAUACCCUUUCUAAUGGUGUUUUUGACACUUUUUUGCCUUAGAGAACCUGUAGCAUCCUCCUUAGCUUUAAUUCUGGAACCCGUUUCAUCAUUCACACUUGCAUGUUCUCAGCAUGUUAGCUCCUGUCACAAGGAAUUGUUAGUACAUGAUCAUAAGGUGUUGGAUAUCCCAACCAAUGUGUGUGGGAUCAGAGAAGAGAGGACAACAGGGUGUUAUCCUACCACUUGGUGAAUCUUAGCAAAGGGAGAGAGGCAGCUGGGCUGAGAGGAAGAAGGUGUGCUUCAGGAUAUUCCUUCUGGUGGCAUUUUUUCCCUACAUGUAGGCAGAUCAAGGGUUGAGAAUGCAUGGCAUGUGUCUUCCAUUGAUAUUCUUAAGCAGGGAAUGACAUUUAUCUCUUUUCAAUUCCUCAUUGUAAAGCUAAAUCUGCUCCUCUACCCCAAAACAACCUGUAGUAUUGUUCUCCUGUUAUCAUGAUAAAUUAUGGAUGUGAGACAUGCUGAAUCAUGACAAUGCUCCUUGUGCUGAAGAAAUUCCUCUUUUGUCAUGUACAGCUUUUUUAUAGUCCUAUUUAUUGUGGGACCAAUGUUAGAGUCCUGAUGGGGUUGCAAGGAAGCAGGAAGUGCACUAGCUGCUCUGGGAUUUUAAGCACAGACAUCUCGAAUAUUCUGAGGAGUUUGUAUCAGUUUAUGAUUGACCAGCAACCAAUGUGUAAGCAGUGCUUUGUGUCUGCAUGCAUACUUCGUAAGUCACAGAAUCUGUUUGGUUUGGAAGGGACGUUAAAGAUUGUCUGCUUCCACCCAGCUCUGCCAUGAGCAGGGACAUCUUCCAAUAAACCAGGUUGCUCAAAGCCCCAUCCGACCCGGCUUCGAACACUUCCAGGGAUGGG